rnacentral:rRNA from 1 species
UACGUAGGUGGCAAGCGUUGUCCGGAUUUACUGGGCGUAAAGGAUGCGUAGGCGGACAUUUAAGUCAGAUGUGAAAUACCCGAGCUUAACUUGGGUGCUGCAUUUGAAACUGGGUGUCUAGAGUGCAGGAGAGGUAAGUGGAAUUCCUAGUGUAGCGGUGAAAUGCGUAGAGAUUAGGAAGAACACCAGUGGCGAAGGCGACUACUGGACUGUAACUGACGCUGAGGCAUGAAAGCGUGGGGAGCAAACAGG